GAAAGGGGCAGACGAGGGGGAAGCUAGAAACCAAUAGUGGCAAUUAUUGUUGGGAGGCCAUUGCCGCUGGUGGGCGGUGGCUUCCCCUUCCACCCCGUAUUAGCAGCAGCUCUGGUCUCUGGACCUCGGCCGGUGAACUCCAACAGAGAUCGCCUCCCCUCUCCCUCCCUUCCGUCCGCCAUCUCUGAUUCUUUUUGCGUGCGCAAGUUGUUAAAUCAGCACACGACCUCUCUGCUUUUGGAGUGGAGGAGGGGCAUAUACGGGGGUUCACUGGUGCGCCGGGGCCGCCGCUUUUUCUGCUGGCCUCUCCCCGGCCCUCCCAUUGGAGCGCGCAAAGCUGGGCGGCACACCAUUUAAAGAAGCAAACUGCACUCCACCACCACCAGCACCAAGGCGCCACCACCAAGCACACCGCCACGCCACACGAUCCAACGCGCAGGCAGGCGAGGAUCAGACCGGCCGGAGCUCAAUUGGCUUCUCCGUCAGGGGUCGGUCCCUGCUUGCUGCGGCGUGAGAGCAGAUUUUAGAUCGGAUUUGGGCUGGGGUUCUUGGAGCAGUAGGCACAAAACUCGUCCAGGUUGUGCAAAAAUGCAGUGCAACCAGUAACUAACAGGGCUCUCUCAUCUUGUACUGUGGCAUUUCUUAAGUUGUUUGGGAGAGCUGAGCUUCCUUCUAGGCUGGAAGAUCCAAAAUCUGUUCUCGAAAAUUUACUGUGCCUACAGAUGGCAGACGAUCCUAAUAUGAAUUUUGGGGCAUUCUCCCAGUCACUCUGCAACCAGCAUGUAGUUUCAUUUCAGACAACCGUAGCCACUAGUGGCUCAGGAGGCAUGCCAACAUACCUGGAUUGUUCCACUGGGAUGGAUGCCAGUGUGGGGAUGUUGACCACACCUUCAGUGAUUGUUUCCACUGGUUCAUCUAAUAUGCCAGCUGAUUCCGGGCAGAGCCUCAAAUAUGGUGGGCCGCUGGCUGCAGAUUGGACACAGCUUGAGCUUGAAAUUCUGAGAGAUGGCAUGGAUAAAUAUGUUCAUGAACAAGGCAUCAUGAAGUAUAUAAAGAUAGCAGCAUCGUUACCGAACAAGACAGUAAGAGAUGUUGCAAUGAGGUGCCAGUGGGUAGGGAAGAAAGUAAAUACAAGACGAAGGAAGCCCCAAGAACACCAUACUGGGAGAAAUACAAAAGAAAGAAAGGAUAAAUUUGUAGAGCCAGCACCGUGGGGAGCAAAUCAUCCUCUUCAAACAGGCAUGAGAGCCUCUUCAUUUGUGCCGCAUAAUGUUCAAAUAUCUGGAGCAUCUGAGAUAGAUCGUCCAGUGCAGCAUCUACUGGAGGAAAAUAAUAGACUUCUUAAUCAAAUAGAAAUAAAUAUUCAGAGAUUUCAGCCUCAUAACAACUUCGAUCUCUUCCAUCAGGCAAGAAGGAACAUUAAUGAUCUUCUACAAAUCUGCUUCUUCUAUAAACAGCACGACCCAACUGCCUGGACUGAGAACCAAGAUGCCUCCACUUAGCGUGUCAGUGGAUGAAAAUCUUGCUAGCUUCGUGCUUCCUGGCAUUACAAUGGAUCAAGUUAUUGGAAGCAACCAUUUGAAGGAGGAGCCAAGAGGAUGGUAGGUCACUGCCAACAGGCUUCAGUUUAGGAAGACUUUGGGACUUUAUUAUUGGUAGAUGGAUGGAACAUAUGGAGAAGUACUGUUUGAUUUUGCACACCAAGUGGCGACACCAAUUCACCAAGGACCCCUGCUUUCUCUAUCUGAAAGCGAAAGGAGAGGUGACUGAAACCGUUCAGCUGCCCUGCAACUAGCCUUAAACAUUGGUGGCUAAAGAGCGAGGGUUUUUAGGAACUGCAGUUUUUGUGGCCUUGCUGCACCUGUAAAUAACUACUAUGAUUCCUUUUGGUUUCUCCUUCAGACAUUAGGCUAAAUAGAUGUAGCGGAGGAAGCUCACAAGAACUAGCUAAAUAGUUCUCUAGGAAGAACCCGCUACAUAGCAAGAAGGAUCCUUUUUGCCUGUCGCCAUUUGUUGCUCUUCCUGCAUGUGAAGUUGUGAACGCAAUCCAAGUUCCUAAUUCUAUAUCCGUGCUC